rnacentral:rRNA from 1 species
UACGGAGGGGGCUAGCGUUGUUCGGAAUGACUGGGCGUAAAGCGCGCGUAGGCGGCUGCUCAAGUCAGAGGUGAAAGCCCGGGGCUCAACCCCGGAACUGCCGUUGAAACUAGGUGGCUGGAACGUUGGAGAGGUCAGGGGAAUUCCGAGUGUAGAGGUGAAAUUCGUAGAUAUUCGGAAGAACACCAGUGGCGAAGGCGACUGACGGGACUGGUACUUACGAUGAGGGGCGAAAGCGUGGGGAGCAAACAGG